AUUGAACGCUGGCGGCAUGCCUUACACAUGCAAGUCGAACGGUAACGCGGGGCAACCUGGCGACGAGUGGCGAACGGGUGAGUAAUGUAUCGGAACGUGCCCAGUUGUGGGGGAUAACUGCUCGAAAGAGCAGCUAAUACCGCAUACGACCUGAGGGUGAAAGCGGGGGAUCGCAAGACCUCGCGCAGUUGGAGCGGCCGAUAUCAGAUUAGGUAGUUGGUGGGGUAAAGGCUCACCAAGCCAACGAUCUGUAGCUGGUCUGAGAGGACGACCAGCCACACUGGGACUGAGACACGGCCCAGACUCCUACGGGAGGCAGCAGUGGGGAAUUUUGGACAAUGGGCGCAAGCCUGAUCCAGCCAUGCCGCGUGCGGGAAGAAGGCCUUCGGGUUGUAAACCGCUUUUGUCAGGGAAGAAAAGACUCCUGCUAAUACCGGGGGUUCAUGACGGUACCUGAAGAAUAAGCACCGGCUAACUACGUGCCAGCAGCCGCCGUAA
rnacentral:rRNA from 1 species